CAGUCAGCGCUACUGAAUGGCGAACACACAAACACAUACACCCACACAGUUACACUCCACACCCGUCAACAGAAAAAAGCCUUGAGGCUAUGCAAGCGAGAUGCAACAGAGCGGAAUCCACCCAUCCAUAUAUCUACAUUCAGACAAGAUGAGAAACACCACAAGAUCUGCAAUCCAGUGAUGUUGGUAGGUUUUAAAUGUAGUGAGUCCUAGAGCACAUAGGUGGUGAUUUGAGUGAACCCUCAAUACAAUUUUUGUAACUUCAGAAACUGUGGUGUUAAACUUGUAUUUAAUGUUAUGGUUUUCAUAACAGAUAUAGUCAUGUAGGUUCAAAAUGCAUCUGAAAUUAAAGGUGAAAUUUUUAAA